UACGAAGGGUGCAAACGUUUGCUCGGAAUUAUUGGGCGUAAAGCGCACGUAGGCGGCUUUGUAAGUCGGAUGUGAAAUCCCUCGGCUUAACCAAGGAAGUGCAUCCGAAACUACAGAGCUUGAGUACUUAAGAGGAUCGCGGAAUUCCCGGUGUAGAGGUGAAAUUCGUAGAUAUCGGGAGGAACACCAGUGGCGAAGGCGGCGUCUGGGAAGAUACUGACGCUGAGGUGCGAAAGCGUGGGGAGCAAACAGG
rnacentral:rRNA from 1 species